UCGAACGCGUCUCCGUUAAUGAUUUUAGGUGCUUGCACUUGAAAGAUUUAACAUUGAGACGAGUGGCGAACUGGUGAGUAACACGUGGGUAACCUGCCCUUGAAGUAGGGGAUAACACUUGGAAACAGGUGCUAAUACCGUAUAACAACCAAAACCACCUGGUUUUGGUUUAAAAGACGGCUUCGGCUGUCACUUUAGGAUGGACCCGCGGCGUAUUAGCUUGUUGGUAAGGUAACGGCCUACCAAGGCGAUGAUACGUAGCCGACCUGAGAGGGUAAUCGGCCACAUUGGGACUGAGACACGGCCCAAACUCCUACGGGAGGCAGCAGUAGGGAAUCUUCCACAAUGGACGAAAGUCUGAUGGAGCAACGCCGCGUGAGUGAUGAAGGGUUUCGGCUCGUAAAACUCUGUUGUUGGAGAAGAACAGGUGUCAGAGUAACUGUUGACAUCUUGACGGUAUCCAACCAGAAAGCCACGGCUAACUACGUGCCAGCAGCCGCGGUAAUACGUAGGUGGCAAGCGUUGUCCGGAUUUAUUGGGCGUAAAGCGAGCGCAGGCGGUUUUUUAGGUCUGAUGUGAAAGCCUUCGGCUUAACCGGAGAAGUGCAUCGGAAACCGGGAGACUUGAGUGCAGAAGAGGACAGUGGAACUCCAUGUGUAGCGGUGAAAUGCGUAGAUAUAUGGAAGAACACCAGUGGCGAAGGCGGCUGUCUGGUCUGUAACUGACGCUGAGGCUCGAAAGCAUGGGUAGCGAACAGGAUUAGAUACCCUGGUAGUCCAUGCCGUAAACGAUGAGUGCUAAGUGUUGGAGGGUUUCCGCCCUUCAGUGCUGCAGCUAACGCAUUAAGCACUCCGCCUGGGGAGUACGACCGCAAGGUUGAAACUCAAAGGAAUUGACGGG
rnacentral:rRNA from 1 species